rnacentral:rRNA from 1 species
GAUGAACGCUGGCGGCGUGCCUAAUACAUGCAAGUCGAGCGAACAGAUAAGGAGCUUGCUCCUUUGACGUUAGCGGCGGACGGGUGAGUAACACGUGGGUAACCUACCUCUAAGACUGGGAUAACUUCGGGAAACCGGAGCUAAUACCGGAUAACAUUUUGAACCGCAUGGUUCUAAAGUGAAAGAUGGUUUUGCUAUCACUUAUAGAUGGACCCGCGCCGUAUUAGCUAGUUGGUAAGGUAACGGCUUACCAAGGCACCGAUACGUAGCCGACAUGAGAGGGUGAUCGGCCACACUGGAAGUGAGACACGGUCCAGACUCCUACGGGAGGCAACAGUAGGGAAUCUUCCGCAAUGGGCGAAAGCCUGACGGAGCAACGCCGCGUGAGUGAUGAAGGGUUUCGGCUCGUAAAACUCUGUUAUUAGGGAAGAACAAACGUGUAAGUAACUGUGCACGUCUUGACGGUACCUAAUCAGAAAGCCACGGCUAACUACGUG